rnacentral:rRNA from 1 species
AAUAGAUACCCGGGUAGUCCACGCUGUAAACGAUGGAUACUAGCUGUUUGGCGAAAGUUGAGUGGCUAAGCGAAAGUGAUAAGUAUCCCACCUGGGGAGUACGUUCGCAAGAAUGAAACUCAAAGGAAUUGACGGGGGCCCGCACAAGCGGUGGAGCAUGUGGUUUAAUUCGAUGAUACGCGAGGAACCUUACCAAGGCCUAAAUGUAGUUUGAUGGAUUUGGAAACAGAUUUUUCUUCGGACAAAUUACAAGGUGCUGCAUGGUUGUCGUCAGCUCGUGCCGUGAGGUGUCAGGUUAAGUCCUAUAACGAGCGCAACCCCUGUUGUUAGUUGCCAUCGAGUAAUGUCGGGAACUCUAGCAAGACUGCCGGUGCAAACCGUGAGGAAGGUGGGGAUGACGUCAAAUCAUCACGGCCCUUAUGCCUUGGGCUACACACGUGCUACAAUGGCCGGUACAGAGAGCAGCCACUGCGUGAGCAGGGAGCGAAUCUAUAAAGCCGGUCACAGUUCGGAUCGGAGUCUGCAA